CAACUGUAUAUGUGUAUUAUUUCAAAUAGGUUAUUGACGUGUAUUAUUUUAAAUAUGUAUUCAAAUCACUGUUUUGAUUUUUCAAACUAAACCAUUGUCUCGCCAGCAAUUUCCAAAAAUCACUUUUUAUGCCCCAUUUAUGGGCAUUAUGUUUUCUGGUCUGUGCGUCCCUUCGUCCGUCCGUCCUUCCGUCCGUUCGUCUGUCCCAUUCAGGUUAAAGUUUUUGGUCAAGAUACCUUUUGAUGAAGUUGAAGUCCAAUUAAUUUGAAACUUAGUACACACUAGAACACACCCGUGAUAUCGCGGGUCUGUGACUGAAUUAAAGUAUAUAACUAUGCCUACGCCUUAUUUUAGUAUUGGGAUUGCCAUCUGAUAAAGUCAUGCCGAUUAUAAGAUGCACAGUGUUCUCUGCUUUCAAAAUCUGUCUGUUUGAACCAGUCGACCUGGAACUUAUCAAUUAUUGGUAAUAUUAAUUGAAAAC
rnacentral:lncRNA from 1 species